AUUGAUUUUGGUCGCCAACGAGUGGCGGACGGGUGAGUAACACGUAGGUAACCUGCCCAGAAGCGGGGGACAACAUUUGGAAACAGAUGCUAAUACCGCAUAACAACGUUGUUCGCAUGAACAACGCUUAAAAGAUGGCUUCUCGCUAUCACUUCUGGAUGGACCUGCGGUGCAUUAGCUUGUUGGUGGGGUAAUGGCCUACCAAGGCGAUGAUGCAUAGCCGAGUUGAGAGACUGAUCGGCCACAAUGGGACUGAGACACGGCCCAUACUCCUACGGGAGGCAGCAGUAGGGAAUCUUCCACAAUGGGCGCAAGCCUGAUGGAGCAACACCGCGUGAGUGAAGAAGGGUUUCGGCUCGUAAAGCUCUGUUGUUAAAGAAGAACACGUAUGAGAGUAACUGUUCAUACGUUGACGGUAUUUAACCAGAAAGUCACGGCUAACUACGUGCCAGCAGCCGCGGUAAUACGUAGGUGGCAAGCGUUAUCCGGAUUUAUUGGGCGUAAAGAGAGUGCAGGCGGUUUUCUAAGUCUGAUGUGAAAG
rnacentral:rRNA from 2 species